rnacentral:lncRNA from 1 species
CGCAACUAAUGUAUCCUUAUCCACACAAAUUCCUCAUGGUUGCAGCGACCACUCCCUCCUCUCUCUGACCAAUGAGCACCGCCAAAUCUUGCUUCGCCCGCACCGAGCACAUGGAUUUGCAGUCCCUGGGAGCAUCCUCCUCCUCUCCAGGCCCCUCUCCCAGCUCUGCCUCUGUCCCAGCUCCUCUCCAUGCCCAGAUCGGGCUAGGCUGAGCUUUUGUCGCUGCAAUGCAACCUCGGGUUGCUGCGAGCUCGGCUCUCUCGCGCGGCCGCAAGAACAGCAGCUAGGGAGCCCGCUCCCGCGCGGCUACCGCGUCUCGGUUUUUGUCUCGAGCAGAUCUGCAACUGAGUUUGUUCAACAAAGCGGUUAUUUCUAUAACUCGACCUUUGUUGCAAAAAUUUCUUCCACAACAGUACCUAUGUUGCAGAAAGACGAAGGAAUUUUUUUUUGGUAACAAAGCGAUUUUUUCUGGAACUCCAUCGUUGUUUCAGGAAUUGAUGGGUCCAAAAUUAUUUUUGCAAAAAAGUGAUUCUUUCUGUAACUCAACCAUUGUUUCAAGAAUUAUUUGGGUGCUGGAAGGCAACGGAGCAGCAUAGAUCGGACGGCUACGCGCGUACAUCGGACGGCCGUCGAGGCGGUGUAUGUUUACUAAACAUUCGUCGGUGGACGCAUAACAACCGCCAUAAACAAAAGGUCCAAUGACAUAGAUUAUAACUAAGCAAAUAAGUAAGAACCAACCUAAUUAAAU